GAAAUUCGCCUUCAUGAAGCCGGAAUUGCUAGUAAUGGCAGGUCAGCAUACUGCCGUGAAUACGUUCCCGGGCCUUGUACACACCGCCCGUCACACCAUGAGAGUUGGGAAUACCCGAAGCCUGUGAGCUAACAUUAAGAGGCAGCAGUCGAAGGUAGAAUCAAUGAUUGGGGUGAAGUCGUAACAAGGUAAC
rnacentral:rRNA from 1 species